ACCUUCUAAUCAGAAUGUCUACAUUUUAAGAUUAGAUCUCAAAUCAGGUAGGACUACCCGCUGAUCUUAAGCAUAUCAAUAAGCGGAGGAAAAGAAACUAACAAGGAUUCCCCUAGUAGCGGCGAGCGAAGCGGGAAGAGCUCAAAUUUAUAAUCUGGCACCUUCGGUGUCCGAGUUGUAAUCUCUAGAAAUGUUUUCCGCGUUGGACCGCACACAAGUCUGUUGGAAUACAGCGGCAUAGUGGUGAGACCCCCGUAUAUGGUGCGGACGCCCAGCGCUUUGUGAUACAUUUUCGAAGAGUCGAGUUGUUUGGGAAUGCAGCUCAAAUUGGGUGGUAAAUUCCAUCUAAAGCUAAAUAUUGGCGAGAGACCGAUAGCGAACAAGUACCGUGAGGGAAAGAUGAAAAGCACUUUGGAAAGAGAGUUAACAGUACGUGAAAUUGUUGGAAGGGAAACGCUUGAAGUCAGACUUGCUUGCCGAGCAAUCGGUUUGCAGGCCAGCAUCAGUUUUCCGGGAUGGAUAAUGGUAGAGAGAAGGUAGCAGUUUCGGCUGUGUUAUAGCUCUCUGCUGGAUACAUCUUGGGGGACUGAGGAACGCAGUGUGCCUUUGGCGGGGGUUUCGACCUCUUCACACUUAGGAUGCUGGUGGAAUGGCUUUAAACGACCCGUCUUGAA
rnacentral:rRNA from 1 species